rnacentral:lncRNA from 1 species
UUUAUUAAAAAAAAGGAAAUUAUUGCAUAGAGAAUAAGAUUUUUUUUUUUUUUUUGAGGAGAAAAAUUUGGAUUCUGAUUCAUCUUCCACAAAUAUAGAAAACUUUGAAGGUUUUUGAAAUAGUAGAGUAGAGCUUGAGAUUUUCUUUUCCUUUGCAUGUUUUCUGCCUCACUUAUUUUGUAAAUAAAUAAAUUUUAGUUAAAAAAUUAAGUAAUUAGACUUCGAAAUCGGAAUCUCAAAUAUCAAUUAUCAAAUUUUUUAUCAUCUGCACUGCACAUAAUCUGUAGUUUGAGAUUUUUGUAGAAUAAAAUAUAUGAGUAGUCUCUGAUAGUUGUAAGUGUUAAUCUUUUUCACAAUAUCAU